rnacentral:rRNA from 1 species
AUAGGGUCAAGUGAAUAAGUGCAUCAGGCGGAUGCCUUGGCGAUGAUAGGCGACGAAGGACGUGUAAGCCUGCGAAAAGCGCGGGGGAGCUGGCAAUAAAGCUAUGAUUCCGCGAUGUCCGAAUGGGGAAACCCACUGCAUUCUGUGCAGUAUCCUAAGUUGAAUACAUAGGCUUAGAGAAGCGAACCCGGAGAACUGAACCAUCUAAGUACCCGGAGGAAAAGAAAUCAACCGAGAUUCCGCAAGUAGUGGCGAGCGAACGCGGAGGAGCCUGUACGUAAUAACUGUCGAGAUAGAAGAACAAGCUGGGAAGCUUGACCAUAGCGGGUGACAGUCCCGUAUUCGAAAUCUCAACAGCGGUACUAAGCGUACGAAAAGUAGGGCGGGACACGUGAAAUCCUGUCUGAAUAUGGGGGGACCAUCCUCCAAGGCUAAAUACUCAUCAUCGACCGAUAGUGAACCAGUACCGUGAGGGAAAGGCGAAAAGAACCCCGGGAGGGGAGUGAAACAGAACCUGAAACCUGAUGCAUACAAACAGUGGGAGCGCCCUAGUGGUGUGACUGCGUACCUUUUGUAUAAUGGGUCAACGACUUACAUUCAGUAGCGAGCUUAACCGGAUAGGGGAGGCGUAGGGAAACCGAGUCUUAAUAGGGCGAUGAGUUGCUGGGUGCAGACCCGAAACCGAGUGAUCUAUCCAUGGCCAGGUUGAAGGUGCCGUAACAGGUACUGGAGGACCGAACCCACGCAUGUUGCAAAAUGCGGGGAUGAGCUGUGGGUAGGGGUGAAAGGCUAAACAAACUCGGAGAUAGCUGGUUCUCCCCGAAAACUAUUUAGGUAGUGCCUCGAGCAAGACACUGAUGGGGGUAAAGCACUGUUAUGGCUAGGGGGUUAUUGCAACUUACCAACCCAUGGCAAACUCAGAAUACCAUCAAGUGGUUCCUCGGGAGACAGACAGCGGGUGCUAACGUCCGUUGUCAAGAGGGAAACAACCCAGACCGCCGGCUAAGGUCCCAAAUGAUAGAUUAAGUGGUAAACGAAGUGGGAAGGCACAGACAGCCAGGAUGUUGGCUUAGAAGCAGCCAUCAUUUAAAGAAAGCGUAAUAGCUCACUGGUCGAGUCGUCCUGCGCGGAAGAUGUAACGGGGCUCAAAUCUAUAACCGAAGCUGCGGAUGCCGGUUUACCGGCAUGGUAGGGGAGCGUUCUGUAGGCUGAUGAAGGUGCAUUGUAAAGUGUGCUGGAGGUAUCAGAAGUGCGAAUGUUGACAUGAGUAGCGAUAAAGCGGGUGAAAAGCCCGCUCGCCGAAAGCCCAAGGUUUCCUACGCAACGUUCAUCGGCGUAGGGUAAGUCGGCACCUAAGGCGAGGCAGAAAUGCGUAGUCGAUGGGAAACAGGUUAAUAUUCCUGUACUUGAUUCAAAUGCGAUGUGGGGACGGAGAAGGUUAGGUUGGCAAGCUGUUGGAAUAGCUUGUUUAAGCCGGUAGGUGGAAGACUUAGGCAAAUCCGGGUUUUCUUAACACCGAGAAGUGAUGACGAGUGUCUACGGACACGAAGCAACCGAUACCACGCUUCCAGGAAAAGCCACUAAGCUUCAGUUUGAAUCGAACCGUACCGCAAACCGACACAGGUGGGCAGGAUGAGAAUUCUAAGGCGCUUGAGAGAACUCGGGAGAAGGAACUCGGCAAAUUGAUACCGUAACUUCGGGAGAAGGUAUGCCCUCUAAGGUUAAGGACUUGCUCCGUAAGCCCCGGAGGGUCGCAGAGAAUAGGUGGCUGCGACUGUUUAUUAAAAACACAGCACUCUGCCAACACGAAAGUGGACGUAUAGGGUGUGACGCCUGCCCGGUGCCGGAAGGUUAAUUGAAGAUGUGCAAGCAUCGGAUCGAAGCCCCGGUAAACGGCGGCCGUAACUAUAACGGUCCUAAGGUAGCGAAAUUCCUUGUCGGGUAAGUUCCGACCCGCACGAAUGGCGUAACGAUGGCCACACUGUCUCCUCCCGAGACUCAGCGAAGUUGAAGUGGUUGUGAAGAUGCAAUCUACCCGCUGCUAGACGGAAAGACCCCGUGAACCUUUACUGUAGCUUUGCAUUGGACUUUGAAGUCACUUGUGUAGGAUAGGUGGGAGGCUUGGAAGCAGAGACGCCAGUCUCUGUGGAGUCGUCCUUGAAAUACCACCCUGGUGUCUUUGAGGUUCUAACCCAGACCCGUCAUCCGGGUCGGGGACCGUGCAUGGUAGGCAGUUUGACUGGGGCGGUCUCCUCCCAAAGCGUAACGGAGGAGUUCGAAGGUUACCUAGGUCCGGUCGGAAAUCGGACUGAUAGUGCAAUGGCAAAAGGUAGCUUAACUGCGAGACCGACAAGUCGGGCAGGUGCGAAAGCAGGACAUAGUGAUCCGGUGGUUCUGUAUGGAAGGGCCAUCGCUCAACGGAUAAAAGGUACUCCGGGGAUAACAGGCUGAUUCCGCCCAAGAGUUCAUAUCGACGGCGGAGUUUGGCACCUCGAUGUCGGCUCAUCACAUCCUGGGGCUGUAGUCGGUCCCAAGGGUAUGGCUGUUCGCCAUUUAAAGUGGUACGUGAGCUGGGUUUAAAACGUCGUGAGACAGUUUGGUCCCUAUCUGCAGUGGGCGUUGGAAGUUUGACGGGGGCUGCUCCUAGUACGAGAGGACCGGAGUGGACGAACCUCUGGUGUACCGGUUGUAACGCCAGUUGCAUAGCCGGGUAGCUAAGUUCGGAAGAGAUAAGCGCUGAAAGCAUCUAAGCGCGAAACUCGCCUGAAGAUGAGACUUCCCUUGCGGUUUAACCGCACUAAAGGGUCGUUCGAGACCAGGACGUUGAUAGGUGGGGUGUGGAAGCGCGGUAACGCGUGAAGCUAACCCAUACUAAUUGCCCGUGAGGCUUGACUCUAU